rnacentral:rRNA from 1 species
CCUACGGGAUGCACCAGUGGGGAACAUUGCACAAUGGGCGCAAGCCUGAUGCAGCCAUGCCGCGUGUGUGAAGAAGGCCUUCGGGUUGUAAAGCACUUUCAGCGGGGAGGAAGGCGGUGAGGUUAAUAACCUCAUCGAUUGACGUUACCCGCAGAAGAAGCACCGGCUAACUCCGUGCCAGCAGCCGCGGUAAUACGGAGGGUGUAAGCGUUAAUCGGAAUUACUGGGCGUAAAGCGCACGCAGGCGGUCUGUCAGGUCGGAUGUGAAAUCCCCGGGCUCAACCUGGGAACUGCAUUCGAAACUGGCAGGCUAGAGUCUUGUAGAGGGGGGUAGAAUUCCAGGUGUAGCGGUGAAACGCGUAGAGAUCUGGAGGAAUACCAGUGGCGAAGGCGGCCCCCUGGACAAAGACUGACGCUCAGGUGCGAAAGCGUGGGGAGCAAACAGGAUUAGAUACCCGCGUAGUC